rnacentral:tRNA from 1 species
GGAGAGUUGCCAGAGCGGACGAAUGGGACGGUCUCGAAAACCGUUGUGGGCGUUAGUCCACCGAGGGUUCGAAUCCCUCACUCUCCGCCA